rnacentral:rRNA from 2 species
AGAGAUUGAACAUAAGAGUUUGAUCCUGGCUCAGAUUGAACGCUGGCGGCAUGCUUUACACAUGCAAGUCGGACGGCAGCACAGGGAAGCUUGCUUCUCGGGUGGCGAGUGGCGAACGGGUGAGUAACAUAUCGGAACGUACCGGGUAGCGGGGGAUAACUGAUCGAAAGAUCAGCUAAUACCGCAUACGUCUUGAGAGGGAAAGCAGGGGACCUUCGGGCCUUGCGCUAUCCGAGCGGCCGAUAUCUGAUUAGCUGGUUGGCGGGGUAAAGGCCCACCAAGGCGACGAUCAGUAGCGGGUCUGAGAGGAUGAUCCGCCACACUGGGACUGAGACACGGCCCAGACUCCUACGGGAGGCAGCAGUGGGGAAUUUUGGACAAUGGGCGCAAGCCUGAUCCAGCCAUGCCGCGUGUCUGAAGAAGGCCUUCGGGUUGUAAAGGACUUUUGUCAGGGAAGAAAAGGCCGUUGCCAAUAUCGGCGGCCGAUGACGGUACCUGAAGAAUAAGCACCGGCUAACUACGUGCCAGCAGCCGCGGUAAUACGUAGGGUGCGAGCGUUAAUCGGAAUUACUGGGCGUAAAGCGGGCGCAGACGGUUACUUAAGCAGGAUGUGAAAUCCCCGGGCUCAACCCGGGAACUGCGUUCUGAACUGGGUGACUCGAGUGUGUCAGAGGGAGGUGGAAUUCCACGUGUAGCAGUGAAAUGCGUAGAGAUGUGGAGGAAUACCGAUGGCGAAGGCAGCCUCCUGGGAUAACACUGACGUUCAUGUCCGAAAGCGUGGGUAGCAAACAGGAUUAGAUACCCUGGUAGUCCACGCCCUAAACGAUGUCAAUUAGCUGUUGGGCAACUUGAUUGCUUGGUAGCGUAGCUAACGCGUGAAAUUGACCGCCUGGGGAGUACGGUCGCAAGAUUAAAACUCAAAGGAAUUGACGGGGACCCGCACAAGCGGUGGAUGAUGUGGAUUAAUUCGAUGCAACGCGAAGAACCUUACCUGGUUUUGACAUGUGCGGAAUCCUCCGGAGACGGAGGAGUGCCUUCGGGAGCCGUAACACAGGUGCUGCAUGGCUGUCGUCAGCUCGUGUCGUGAGAUGUUGGGUUAAGUCCCGCAACGAGCGCAACCCUUGUCAUUAGUUGCCAUCAUUCGGUUGGGCACUCUAAUGAGACUGCCGGUGACAAGCCGGAGGAAGGUGGGGAUGACGUCAAGUCCUCAUGGCCCUUAUGACCAGGGCUUCACACGUCAUACAAUGGUCGGUACAGAGGGUAGCCAAGCCGCGAGGCGGAGCCAAUCUCACAAAACCGAUCGUAGUCCGGAUUGCACUCUGCAACUCGAGUGCAUGAAGUCGGAAUCGCUAGUAAUCGCAGGUCAGCAUACUGCGGUGAAUACGUUCCCGGGUCUUGUACACACCGCCCGUCACACCAUGGGAGUGGGGGAUACCAGAAGUAGGUAGGGUAACCGCAAGGAGUCCGCUUACCACGGUAUGCUUCAUGACUGGGGUGAAGUCGUAACAAGGUAGCCGUAGGGGAACCUGCGGCUGGAUCACCUCCUUUCUA